AGAUCUAGCUAGCUCAUGGGGUAGAGCAUCACCGUAAUACGUGAAGGUGGCGGAGUUCGAGUCCCGCGCAGGUCUU
rnacentral:tRNA from 1 species